rnacentral:rRNA from 1 species
UACGGGGGGGGCAAGCGUUGUUCGGAAUUACUGGGCGUAAAGGGCUCGUAGGCGGCCAACUAAGUCAGACGUGAAAUCCCUCGGCUUAACCGGGGAACUGCAUCUGAUACUGGAUGGCUUGAGUUCGGGAGAGGGAUGUGGAAUUCCAGGUGUAGCGGUGAAAUGCGUAGAUAUCUGGAGGAACACCGGUGGCGAAGGCGGCGUUCUGGACUGCAACUGACACUGAGAAACGAAAGCCAGGGUAGCAAACGGG